AUGUAGCGAGCUGAGUGGGGAGGAGAGAGGGACAGAGAGCCUGCUUGCUUUAAAGGAGCCAACCGGACAGGAGCCGCUUACACUCGUGUAAGCGGCUCCUCUCCUCUCCCGCUUUGCUCCUUUAAAGAAGCAGGCUCUCUGUCCCUCUCUCCUCCCCACUCAGUGGCUCUUCUC